rnacentral:lncRNA from 1 species
GCACUCGCGGACCUCGGCGCUCGGGUGCUGGAGCUGCGGGAACCGAGACGUCAGAGUCGCGUAGUGAGCACGCGCGCUGCAGCACCUCGCUCCCGGGCCCCCGGGCCCCCGGCCGCCCGCCGCCCGAGCCUGGCCAUGCCCUCGUCCCACCUUCUCCAGGGCGACGGAGGCUGCAGUGACAGACCAGAAGAGGACGACUGCAGCAGCCGUCGUUGGGGCCCACCGGGCCCGUGGCGACUUCCAGGCUCGACGUUACUUGGCGUCUCCCCUCAGCGGGUCCAAUGUGACGGCCU